GAUUCACUACGACGUUGGUGACUGCCAACACUGUUUGUCGAUCUAUGCUUUGUCUCUAAGGGAAUCGAGAAGUGCCGGUGGCAGUAAACCGAGCUUGUACUCGGAAACUUAAAAUCGGUGCCAGCAUUCCCACCUGGUUCUUCCAGGUCGGAAACUGAGGUAAGACGGCGUCGCGGUGAAUAA
rfam:Lyngbya confervoides BDT141951 scaffold_0, whole genome shotgun sequence.